rnacentral:rRNA from 1 species
GAGACUCUGUGCGCGUGCAUAUCAAUAAGCGGAGGAAAAGAAACUAACAAGGAUUCCCUUAGUAACGGCGAGUGAAGCGGGAAGAGCUCAAAUUUGAAAUCUUCAAGGUUCUACCUUGACGAAUUGUAGUUUAUAGAAGUGUUUUCUGUUAGUAGAGUGGCAAAAGUUCUUUGGAAUAGGACAUCAUAGAGGGUGAGAAUCCCGUAUUUGGUCAUUCUUUCUAGCUUUGUGAUACACUUUCAACGGGUCGGAUUGUUUGGGAAUGCAGUCCAAAAUGGGUGGUAAAUUUCAUCUAAAGCUAAAUAUUGGCGAGAGACCGAUAGCGAACAAGUACCGUGAGGGAAAGAUGAAAAGAACUUUGAAAAGAGAGUUAAACAGUACGUGAAAUUGUCAAAAGGGAAGCGUUUGACACCAGUGUUGUUUUCUCGAAAAUCAAUUAAAAAUGGUGGGAUUUUGUGUUGUAUUGACUUUAUCAGCUUUCUGCACUUUUUUCCUGUCUUUUUUAAUGCACUUUUCGUUUAACAAGUCAACAUCAAUUUCUUUUGUUGUAAAAGGGUCAUUGGAAGGUGGCUUUCUUUUCGGAGAAAGUGUUUAUAGCCUUUGGCCUCUGCAAUCGGAGAGAUUGAGGUCUGCAGCGUAGAUCCUUCGGGGUUAGAUACAUUUGUGCUAAGCUAUAGCCUUUCAUAGACAACUCGUUGACUAUGAUCAGUCAUGUAGCUUACUCGCUUAUGCUAUUUUACCUACGCUUAGGAUGUUGAAGAUGUAGCACAUCAU